GAAGAAAUGUUUAAUCUGAAGUCUGACCUUGUUUGAAGCCAGCUGUAGCUCCUCAUCCAAACUCAGUGCGUAGAGACUCACUCUGACCAGUCGACUCUUUGAUUCAGCACCACUGUGACCAGCGAUGGCAGGGAAGCACCAUGGAUCUGAGCUGAAGACUGACUCCCUCCAACAUGUCUUCCUGCAGAUCAUUUUCCAUCAGAGCUGCUGCAACGUGGAGGUUGAGCAGCCAACAUGUUUUAGGAGAUACAGCAGAUAUCUCUUGGCACGUGGUAGGGAAACAAGGAUCCAUGGCAAGGCUCUGUCUUCAGCUGCAGCAGUGGGAGUGACGAUGCUGCCCAAAGGAAGGGGCAGCUGAUGGUAAUCCUCAGGCACCCAGUCUACUGCUGAC